UAAUCGGGGUACAUUUGGGGUUGACUGGUAUGAGUCAAAGUGGAGGAAUUUAUGGAGGAUGAUGUAAUAUGGGGUUGACUGAUAGAGACGUCUGAAACCACCGAUGUUGUUCACUGGUGUGCAUAAAAGACACUAAAAAAAUUGCUAAGACACGAAUAUGAUGCAAACUUUCAACCAACACCAAAUUUCUGAAGAAAGAAAAGAUACUUAAUAGUGAAACACAGAGUUGAAAACAAGUUUUAAUUCAUUUGUGUUUCUUUGUUUAAACAGAGGUGGAAGCACAUUGAUGGUGGCGAGCAACUAACUCGCAAUAGGAAUUUUUUUUUCUGUUGUUCCUGUAGCGUUUUAGAAAAACAAACUUUUGGACGAAAUUGGGGACCAAAAUGCCAUUUCUUUCUCUCUUUUUGAUUCCUGACCUAUGAUACGUGAUUGACACCAAGUAUGAGAGAUACUCUCAGAAAAAGGGUUGGAUAUUUGAGGUGGUGUAAGUCACAGAUUCAAAUAUGAAAGGAUUCAAGGUCAAUCUUCUUUUUCUUAUUAUUUUUAUUUUAUUUUUGCUAAUGGGAGGAUUUUAUUUGAUCAUUUAACAAAGAGUCAUGCGUGCCGAGUGUAUUUAAUUUGGCAGGAAGCGAGUGCUGCAAUAUCCGGGGCAGAUGUCUACGGAAAACUAAAAUUCGAGAGCGGAGUUCAUAGGGUGCAGCAAGUUUCCAUCACGGAGAAAUCAGGACGUGUUCAUACAAGUGUUGUGUAUGUUGCUAUCCUUCCCCAAGCAAAUGGGGUGAUUGGUGACUUCCUAAAAUAUUCUCAAGAAACAGUUCAAGAUCCAAGGUUGUUUCAGAAAGUUCAAGGGCCUUUAGAUGCUGACCUUGAUAAUUUUGUGGCCCCACUAAUCAGAUUCAGAUGAGUUUUGCAUCUAGAAAACCUUCACAAAGUGAAUCAUCUGCCACUGCACCUGUAAUAUCAAGUGGUUUUGAUGUAUGUGACGGCCCCACCAACUCAGGCCAAGCACCUACUAAAGGUACAGAUACAAAGGAACAAAUGCAUGAUAAUCUUCAACAGGACCGCAAGUGGACAGCAGGGAUCCUACAAAGAAAUGCAGGGUGGAACGAUCACAGAAAAUGGCAGAAGCAAAGGGAAGAACUCAAACCCCUGCAACUUUAUCAGACAUGCAGUCUAUGCUGAAGCGAUGUGAAAAUCUUGAGAAGGAAGUGCGAUCGCUUAAACUUAAUUUGGCUUUCAUGAAUAGGAAGGAUUCUGAACAAACUAAGCAGGUCGAAGAACUCCAAAAGCAGAACGAGAAGAUGAGAGAUGAAAAGGAAAGCCUUUUAGAAGAGAUCGAGAGGAUUUAAUCUGAACCAGAUAAGAUGUGAUAGAAAUGUUGUUAGGAUUCCUAUCUAACAUCUAUGCACAACUAAUAUUUUCAUUUACUAUAUGAUUCGAAACUCAACAAACUUUAGAUGUCUUACCUUAUUUUUAGUUUAAUUUUUUAAAGUUAGAUUGAAUCUAACUUCGUUUGAUACA